UCGGGACGUCCACUCACCUUGGGCCCGCCUCAGCGCUGUUGGCCUCUCAGCCUUUGAUUUCCGCUUGGGUCCGCGAGCUGCGGUCGGCCAGAGAAGGGAUACCUGGCACUUUGACUCCUGUGACGCGUUCUCUGACAUAAACUCCCUGAAGACAGUUUCUACUGAAUUAUCUGCCUACUUUCUGAUAAAACUUUCACUGACCUUCA